rnacentral:rRNA from 1 species
UACAGAGGUGCCAAGCGUUAGGCGGAAUCACUGGGCUUAAAGCGCGUGUAGGCGGGUCGUUAAGUGUCCGAGUGAAAUCCCACGGCUCAACCGUGGAACCGCCGGGCAUACUGGCGAUCUUGAGGCAUUCAGGGGCGAGCGGAACAAAUGGUGGAGCGGUGAAAUGCGUAGAUAUCAUUUGGAACGCCAAUGGUGAAAACAGCUCGCUGGGAAUGAUCUGACGCUGAGACGCGAAAGCCAGGGGAGCGAACGGG